AUUGAACGCUGGCGGCAGGCCUAACACAUGCAAGUCGAACGAGUGGCGGACGGGUGAGUAAUGUCUGGGAAACUGCCUGAUGGAGGGGGAUAACUACUGGACACGGUCGCUAAUACCGCAUACCAUCAGAUGUGCCCAGAUGGGAUUCGCUUGUUGGUGGGGUAACGGCGCACCAAGGCGACGCUCCCUAGCGGGUCUGAGAGGAUGACAAGCAACACUGGAACUGAGACACGGUCCAGACUCCUACGGGAGGAAGCAGUGGGGAAUAUUGCACAAUGGGCGCAAGCCUGAUGCAGCCAUGCGGCGUGUGUGAAGAGGGCCUUCGGGUUGUAAAGUACUUUCAGCGGGGAGGCGUUACCCGCAGAAGAAGCACCGGCUAACUCCGGGCCAGCCGCCGCGGUAAUAC
rnacentral:rRNA from 1 species